rnacentral:rRNA from 1 species
GACAGAGGGUGCAAACGUUGUUCGGAAUUACUGGGCGUAAAGCGCGUGUAGGCGGCCUUCUAAGUCUGGUGUGAAAGCCCGGGGCUCAACCCCGGAAGUGCAUUGGAUACUGGGAGGCUGGGGUACCGGAGAGGAGGGUGGAAUUCCUGGUGUAGCGGUGAAAUGCGUAGAUAUGCGGAGGAACACCGAUGGCGAAGGCAAUCCCCUGGACCUGUACUGACGCUCAUGCACGAAAGCGUGGGGAGCAAACAGG